rnacentral:rRNA from 1 species
GUGGGGGAUAUUGCACAAUGGGGGAAACCCUGAUGCAGCGACGCCGCGUGGAGGAAGAAGGUUUUCGGAUUGUAAACUCCUGUCGUUAGGGACGAUAAUGACGGUACCUAACAAGAAAGCACCGGCUAACUACGUGCCAGCAGCCGCGGUAAAACGUAGGGUGCAAGCGUUGUCCGGAAUUACUGGGUGUAAAGGGAGCGCAGGCGGGAAGACAAGUUGGAAGUGAAAACCAUGGGCUCAACCCAUGAAUUGCUUUCAAAACUGUUUUUCUUGAGUAGUGCAGAGGUAGAUGGAAUUCCCGGUGUAGCGGUGGAAUGCGUAGAUAUCGGGAGGAACACCAGUGGCGAAGGCGGUCUACUGGGCACCAACUGACGCUGAGGCUCGAAAGCAUGGGUAGCAAACAGGAUUAGAAACCCUUGUAGUCC